ACUCUCGGAUUUAUUAAUAGCUCUUAAAUUCGGUUAACAGAAACUGCUGACUCUUCCUUCUUUUGGUGGGUGUUUUCAUUUCGCACGUGCACUGCGAGCCCUGUUCUGCGUCCUGCGUGAGAGUGAGAACAACCAACUGUUGGGCUCAGCCUUGGCCCAGCCAGCCUGUUUGCAAAUAAAUGGGAUGCACGCGCACACAACGAGCUUGGGAAAAGGAUACGUGGGGAAAGGGGGGGAGGGGGGUGUAUGUUCCCAUGAACACAGCUGUAUUUCUCUUUGGUGGCGGGGAAGGUGGAGAUGAUGUAACGCUGACAAGACAGGGAACAGAUUCCAGACAACAAUGUGUGACUGAAGUGGGAGAAAACAAGGGAAAAAGGAGAGGGGGCGGCAAAACAGUAUACAAGGAUACAUUUUAGGGCCUUGUCAGACGAAAAGUAAAAAUCGCAGCUGUAGUUUCUGCGCAAUCUGGUGAUACACUGUUGGCAAUGGAAGCGGUCACACGAGCGGCACGCGUUGUUUGUUUUUUUUAAGUCCUGGCGCAGGCCUAGCCGACGUGUGUGUCCCCAUAUUCCGCUACGCCGCGACACACCAGCGUUUUGGUGAAAGCACCUUCAAGGGACGUGGACACACGAGGUAUAUUUACUGCAGGAACAUUCCUGCAAUAGUUGUAUUUUUUCUCGCUUCCCAUUCAACACGACACAAUUCCCAGUGCAACAAUGUCUUCUUAUGACGAAACAGAGCGUUUGACUUUGGAAAUAAAGAGCAGAAACACCACUUGCGACAACACACGGCGAGAAGGCCAGUACAGCAAAACGAAGUACGUUUCUAUCACAGACAGGCUCGCUUGCUGAGGGCUAACAAUCACGUAACGUGGACAAGACGGCAGUGGUCUCAGGUCCUUUUCACGGAUGAGUCUAGAUUUGUUCUAGGUCGCCACGAAGGUCGAAUGCGGGUAUAUCGCCGUCGAAAUUAAACGUUUGCUGACCAGUGUGUACAUGAAAUCCCUAACCGGGGAUAUGGGCAGGUGAUGGUCUGGGGCGGAAUCACAACAGAACUGGUACAGGUUCCGGCAGCACUGAAUGGCGCCAACUACGUAGCCAUCAUCUUGCAACGACAUGUGGCGCUGUUUGUGCAGAACCAUCCAGGCUACUGCUUACAACAGGACAACGCUCCAGCCCAUCGUACCAGGGUUACACAAGCUUACCUCGCACAGCAAAAAUUCGGUUUCAUCCAUCCCUGGCCAGAAGUAUCACCCGACAUGAACCCGAUUGAACUCUUGGGGGAUAUUCUCGGGCGUCAAACCCAAGAGAUGUAUCCCGCUCCUCAGAACAACACUCAGUAGAUUCAAGCCUAACCAACGCUUGGAACGCUAUCCCACCACAUCAAAUUUCCAAUAUCGUCAACUCUAUGAUGCGCAGAUGCAGCGCCGUCAUUGCCGCAGGCGGCGGUCACACAAGAUAUUAAUCCUGCCAAACUUUCAGACAUUAACUGAAAUGCUUUCGAUUUGACCAGUACCAGUGUACUUUGCUAUGAGACUUUUCAAAAACCAUAAUUCGGGAUUACUAUGUCAAUGUAAAAUUUCUUAUUGGAAAAAUGCACAAUUUCUCAUUUUUAAAAUCUGGACCCUAUCACUUCCUGUGGAGCUUGAAGCACCAGGUGUGUAUUAGAAUCUAUGUGCAUUAAUACAUGUUUUCAAAUAAAGAAAUGCUUCUUCUUUUUACAUGUAAAA